GUCAUGUUGAGCCUCGGGGUUAGGGUGGAGAAAAAACAAAACUAUUGAGGGGUUAGGGUUGAAAAAUAAAACUAUGAGGCUUAGGGUUAUGGGAAGAGAAGGAAAACCAUUAGGGUGGAAAAAGAAAAAGAAAUAGGGUUAGGGUUAAAUGGACACGGGGUGUUAUCUUUAUAUGCGCGACAACGCUCCAUCCUGAUACUCAUAUCAUUGUUUUUGCAGGCGCCUUGGACGGCGAGUGUUCUCGGGUCAUUUCUAGAACGCUACUGCGGCGGGAAAGUAACGCUCCAUUAUGCAGGCCAAACCAUAAUGGAGUGCUGUCUUUCCCGUCGCAAUCUCGUUCUAAUAAUGUGGAUUGAGAAUUUAGUUAGCUCGCUUUUCUUCUCAUCUCUAGGGUUUGAAGAUUGUGAAAGAUGUUCAGAGACAUUUUUAUUAGAGUAAUCUCAUUGCUGAAUUACUUUUGGUGAGUUGGGGUUGUGUUAAUUCUAACUACAGCAGAACUUGAUCUUAAAGGAAUCAAUUUUAAUUGAUAUUUGUAUUAGAAUGCUAUCAACUCUAACCAUACGUUUUCUUCGAGGGCUUUUUGGUUCAGAUACAAGAUGGCAGGCUCCUACCAAAAGGGUUCCUAUACUUUUGCAUUAGAAGCUGUCAACAGCAAAACAGCAGCAAAGAGAGACUGUCACUGCUGUCCAAAGAGAAGUUUCCAGUUAGAAAGGACGCUAAAAUCAGCUACAGCAGCAUACAAUAGUUCAUGAUGAAAAUAAUGGACUUAAAACAGUCCACAAAACAGCAAGCUUACAUUGUCAUAAUCUGGAAAACAAAAACAGUGCUCUUGGACCUAUUGAAAGUAGAUGUAUUUUGCUUAUGUGCAUCCUUGAGUUGAUCUUUUCAUUCAUUCGGACACUUGAUUGAGUGUUCUUUAGAGGCGUAGCAUUUAAGUGUUGUAGGAGAGUGUGCAGAGAAGUUACAAGGUAAGGAUAUAUGCUGAUCGUGUCUCUAGUGGGCCUCUGAAAGGCUUUAAGCCUGUAAAGAUACCAAAAUAUUGGCAGAAGCAGCAAAUCCCUGGUGUCGAGCUUUAAGUAUUUUUGAUGUUUACUGUUCUUUCUUGUUUCUUUUAAUGUAUUCGUUUCUUUAUGGAAAUACUAAGAGGACAUGACACAAAUUCAACUAAGUUGUUUUUACAGGGAAGGACAUCUGUAUUGGUGAAUCAGCUAUGGAAUAUUAGUGCUAAUUAUAGAUCAAGCCUGUAUCCUGAAAGGCUUUAAGCCUGUAAAGAUACCAAAAGAUUGGCAGAAGCAGCAAAUCCCUAGUGUUGAGCUUUAGGUAUUUUUAAUGUUCGUUGUUCUAUCUUGUUUCUUUUCAUAUAUGCAUUUCUUUAUGGAAAUACUAAGAGGACAGCACACAUUCAACUAAAUUGUUUUUACAGGGAAGGACAUCUGUAUAGGUGAAUCAGCUAUGGGAUAUAAAUGCUAAAUUGCUAAUUAAUUAUAGAUCAAUAUCUAUUUUAUUGUAGGCCAAUAAAAGUACCUUAAUACAUUUAGGUGUGUUCAGCAGUCACCAGUGAGGCUAAAAGUGCUUUCAAGGGAUAACUUCAAUAUAUAAUUAAGCUUAAUAAAUGCACAGUGGUACUCGAACAAGUAUAAUACUAAUUUUUGCUAGGUGACACCAUCCAUUUCUGUGGAAUUGAAAUUUGCACCCUAGGUAGAAAAUUGUAAUUUCCAAUACAUGCUUAUUAAGUUGUAAAACUGCACUACAUUAGUAACAAAUGGAUCAUUAGUUUACGGUUAGUUGUGACAAUUUCCAAUACAUUGAUCCUCAAGCUAGAGGUCAAAAUACCCUUGUUAAAUAGUAACUACAAAGAUCUAGCUCACAAGAUACGAUGGAAUUUGUCUUCUGAGAUAACUCAACCUCCUUAAAUUGACAGAGCAUGUGCUGGGUGGAUGUUGGAUUGCUCGGUAUAUCUCAGGCUAAAGUUAAUGUUUCUGAAUUUGCUAUUGGCGAUCCCAUUGGAAGGGGUUAGUUUGAAUUUGAACACAAGCAAUAAUUAAUAUUAUUAGAAUAUUUAUAAUAUUCUUGUUAUGCCAUUGGAAGGGGUUAGUUUGAAUUUGAACACAAGUUAUAAUUAAUAUUAUUAGAAUAUUUAUAAUAUUCUUGUUCAUAUCAA